UUGUUUUAGCAGUACAUAUACUAAAAUUGGAACAAUAAAGAGAAUAUUAGCCUGGCCCCUGCACAAGGAUGACACACAAAUUUAUGAAGUGUUUCAUAUAUUU